rnacentral:rRNA from 1 species
UACGUAGGGGGCAAGCGUUGUCCGGAUUUAUUGGGCGUAAAGAGCUCGUAGGCGGUUAGGUAAGUCGGGUGUGAAAUCUCCGUGCUCAACACGGAGGGGCCAUUCGAUACUGCCUUGACUUGAGUUCGGUAGAGGAGUGUGGAAUUCCAGGUGUAGCGGUGAAAUGCGCAGAUAUCUGGAGGAACACCCGUAGCGAAGGCGGCACUCUGGGCCGAUACUGACGCUGAGGAGCGAAAGCGUGGGGAGCAAACAGG